rnacentral:rRNA from 1 species
GACGAACGCUGGCGGCGUGCUUAACACAUGCAAGUCGAACGGAAAGGCCCUGCUUGCAGGGUACUCGAGUGGCGAACGGGUGAGUAACACGUGGGUGAUCUGCCCUGCACUUCGGGAUAAGCUUGGGAAACUGGGUCUAAUACCGGAUAGGAGCCAUCUUUAGUGUGGUGGUUGGAAAGUUUUUUCGGUGUAGGAUGAGCUCGCGGCCUAUCAGCUUGUUGGUGGGGUAAUGGCCUACCAAGGCGGCGACGGGUAGCCGGCCUGAGAGGGUGUACGGCCACAUUGGGACUGAGAUACGGACCAGACUCCUACGGGGGGCAGCAGUGGGGAAUAUUGCACAAUGGGCGCAAGCCUGAUGCAGCGACGCCGCGUGGGGGAUGAAGGCCUUCGGGUUGUAAACUCCUUUCGCUAGGGACGAAGCUUUGUUGUGACGGUACCUAGAUAAGAAGCACCGGCUAACUACGUG